UAAUACGGAUGGUGCGAGCGUUGUUCGGAAUUACUGGGCGUAAAGGGCGCGUAGGCGGCCAGUCAAGUCAGAUGUGAAAGCCCUCGGCUCAACCGAGGAAGUGCAUCUGAAACUGUCUGGCUUGAGUAUGGGAGAGGAAAGUGGAAUUCCCGGUGUAGAGGUGAAAUUCGUAGAGAUCGGGAGGAAUACCGGUGGCGAAGGCGACUUUCUGGACCAAUACUGACGCUGAGGCGCGAAAGCGUGGGGAGCAAACAGGAUUAGAUACCCUGGUAGUCCACAGCUGUAAACGAUGAGAACUAGGUAUAGGAGGUAUUGACCCCCCCUGUGCCGUAGCUAACGCAUUAAGUUCUCCGCCUGGGGAGUACGGUCGCAAGAUUA
rnacentral:rRNA from 1 species